AGCAACAAUAUGGGGCGAUAUCCCGCGG
rnacentral:sRNA from 1 species